rnacentral:rRNA from 1 species
GAUGAACGCUGGCGGCGUGCCUAAUACAUGCAAGUCGAGCGAACGGACGAGAAGCUUGCUUUUCUGAUGUUAGCGGCGGACGGGUGAGUAACACGUGGAUAACCUACCUAUAAGACUGGGAUAACUUCGGGAAACCGGAGCUAAUACCGGAUAAUAUUUUGAACCGCAUGGUUCAAAAGUGAAAGACGGUCUUGCUGUCACUUAUAGAUGGAUCCGCGCUGCAUUAGCUAGUUGGUAAGGUAACGGCUUACCAAGGCAACGAUGCAUAGCCGACCUGAGAGGGUGAUCGGCCACACUGGAACUGAGACACGGUCCAGACUCCUACGGGAGGCAGCAGUAGGGAAUCUUCCGCAAUGGGCGAAAGCCUGACGGAGCAACGCCGCGUGAGUGAUGAAGGUCUUCGGAUCGUAAAACUCUGUUAUUAGGGAAGAACAUAUGUGUAAGUAACUGUGCACAUCUUGACGGUACCUAAUCAGAAAGCCACGGCUAACUACGUGCCAGCAGCCGCGGUAAUACGUAGGUGGCAAGCGUUAUCCGGAAUUAUUGGGCGUAAAGCGCGCGUAGGCGGUUUUUUAAGUCUGAUGUGAAAGCCCACGGCUCAACCGUGGAGGGUCAUUGGAAACUGGAAAACUUGAGUGCAGAAGAGGAAAGUGGAAUUCCAUGUGUAGCGGUGAAAUGCGCAGAGAUGUGGAGGAACACCAGUGGCGAAGGCGACUUUCUGGUCUGUAACUGACGCUGAUGUGCGAAAGCGUGGGGAUCAAACAGGAUUAGAUACCCUGGUAGCCCACGCCGUAAACGAUGAGUGCUAAGUGUUAGGGGGUUUCCGCCCCUUAGUGCUGCAGCUAACGCAUUAAGCACUCCGCCUGGGGAGUACGACCGCAAGGUUGAAACUCAAAGGAAUUGACGGGGGCCCGCACAAGCGGUGGAGCAUGUGGUUUAAUUCGAAGCAACGCGAGGAACCUUACCAAAUCUUGACAUCCUUUGACAACUCUAGAGAUAGAGCCUUCCCCUUCGGGGGACAAAGUGACAGGUGGUGCAUGGUUGUCGUCAGCUCGUGUCGUGAGAUGUUGGGUUAAGUCCCGCAACGAGCGCAACCCUUAAGCUUAGUUGCCAUCAUUAAGUUGGGCACUCUAAGUUGACUGCCGGUGACAAACCGGAGGAAGGUGGGGAUGACGUCAAAUCAUCAUGCCCCUUAUGAUUUGGGCUACACACGUGCUACAAUGGACAAUACAAAGGGCAGCGAAACCGCGAGGUCAAGCAAAUCCCAUAAAGUUGUUCUCAGUUCGGAUUGUAGUCUGCAACUCGACUACAUGAAGCUGGAAUCGCUAGUAAUCGUAGAUCAGCAUGCUACGGUGAAUACGUUCCCGGGUCU